rnacentral:rRNA from 1 species
UAUAGCACUUGUACUGUGAAACUGCGAAUGGCUCAUUAAAUCAGUUAUCGUUUAUUUGAUAGUACCUUACUACAUGGAUACCUGUGGUAAUUCUAGAGCUAAUACAUGCUAAAAACCCCGACUUCAGGAAGGGGUGUAUUUAUUAGAUAAAAAACCAACGCCCUUCGGGGCUCCUUGGUGAAUCAUAAUAACUUAACGAAUCGCAUGGCCUUGCGCCGGCGAUGGUUCAUUCAAAUUUCUGCCCUAUCAACUUUCGAUGGUAGGAUAGUGGCCUACCAUGGUGGCAACGGGUAACGGGGAAUUAGGGUUCGAUUCCGGAGAGGGAGCCUGAGAAACGGCUACCACAUCCAAGGAAGGCAGCAGGCGCGCAAAUUACCCAAUCCCGAUACGGGGAGGUAGUGACAAUAAAUACUGAUACGGGGCUCUUUUGGGUCUCGUAAUUGGAAUGAGAACAAUUUAAAUCCCUUAACGAGGAACAAUUGGAGGGCAAGUCUGGUGCCAGCAGCCGCGGUAAUUCCAGCUCCAAUAGCGUAUAUUAAAGUUGUUGCAGUUAAAAAGCUCGUAGUUGAACCUUGGGUCUGGCUGGCCGGUCCGCCUCACCGCGAGUACUGGUCCGGCUGGACCUUUCCUUCUGGGGAACCUCAUGGCCUUCACUGGCUGUGGGGGGAACCAGGACUUUUACUGUGAAAAAAUUAGAGUGUUCAAAGCAGGCCUUUGCUCGAAUACAUUAGCAUGGAAUAAUAGAAUAGGACGUGUGGUUCUAUUUUGUUGGUUUCUAGGACCGCCGUAAUGAUUAAUAGGGAUAGUCGGGGGCGUCAGUAUUCAGCUGUCAAAGGGGAAAUUCUUGGAUUUGCUGAAAACUAACUACUGCGAAAGCAUUCGCCAAGGAU